rnacentral:rRNA from 1 species
UAGGGAAUCUUCGGCAAUGGGGGCAACCCUGACCGAGCAACGCCGCGUGAGUGAAGAAGGUUUUCGGAUCGUAAAGCUCUGUUGUAAGAGAAGAACGUGUGUGAGAGUGGAAAGUUCACACAGUGACGGUAACUUACCAGAAAGGGACGGCUAACUACGUGCCAGCAGCCGCGGUAAUACGUAGGUCCCGAGCGUUGUACGGAUUUAUUGGGCGUAAAGCGAGCGCAGGCGGUUUAAUAAGUCUGAAGUUAAAGGCAGUGGCUUAACAAUUGUUCGCUUUGGAAACUGUUAAACUUGAGUGCAGAAGGGGAGAGUGGAAUUCCAUGUGUAGCGGUGAAAUGAGUAGAUAUAUGGAGAAACACCGGUGGCGAAAGCGGCUCUCUGGUCUGUAACUGACGCUGAGGCUCGAAAGCGUGGGGAGCAAACAGG